UACGAAGGAUGCAAGCGUUAUCCGGAUUUAUUGGGUUUAAAGGGAGCGUAGGCGGUCUUAUAAGUCAGUGGUGAAAUCUCGUCGCUUAACGCCGAACGUGCCAUUGAUACUGUAGGACUUGAGUACAGAUGCCGUUGGCGGAAUGUGUCAUGUAGCGGUGAAAUGCAUAGAUAUGACACAGAACACCGAUUGCGAAGGCAGCUGACGAAACUGUAACUGACGCUGAGGCUCGAAAGCGUGGGGAUCAAACAGG
rnacentral:rRNA from 1 species